CUAAAAGGCCUUUUUGGUCCCUUCUCUGACUUGCGAACUCCUCGCUGAGGGUGUUAACUCGUCCCUCCCUGAAAGCUCCGUCCGUCUCCUAGGUUACAGGCCAGCCCGGGGGCGGGCCUAAAAGGCCUUUUUGGUCCCUUCUCUGACUUGCGAACUCCUCGCUGAGGGUGUUAACUCGUCCCUCUCUGAAAGCUCCGUCCGUCUCCUAGGUUACAGGCCAGCCCGGGGGCGGGCCUAAAAGGCCUUUUUGGUCCCUUCUCUGACUUGUGAACUCCUCGCUGAGGGUGUUAACUCGUCCCUCUCUGAAAGCUCCGUCCGUCUCCUAGGUUACAGGCCAGCCCGGGGGCGGGCCUAAAAGGCCUUUUUGGUCCCUUUCCCCCUCCUCCUAGACUAGGUGUAACUUCGAGCGCUCUUCGCGCAUCAUUAAUUAUUAUUCAUGAAGCUACAGAUUCCCGGCGCUCAAAAGAUGCGGGCGUUCGCCCUCCCUGUGUUGCCGCGUAGGUGUCCUACGCAGAGCAUUCUGGGAAAUGUAGUCCUUGAUC
rnacentral:lncRNA from 1 species